GACCCUGCACAAGCGGUGGAUCAUGUUGUUUAAUUCGAGGAUACGCGAAGAACCUUACCAGGCCUUGACAUCCUCUGCAAAGCUAUAGAGAUAUAGUGGAGGUUAACAGAGAGACAGGUGGUGCACGGUUGUCGUCAGCUCGUGUCGUGAGAUGUUGGGUUAAGUCCCGUAACGAGCGCAACCCUUGUUGCUAGUUGCCAUCAUUAAGUUGGGGACUCUAGCGAGACUGCCAGUGAUAAACUGGAGGAAGGCGGGGAUGACGUCAAAUCAUCAUGCCCCUUAUGGCCUGGGCUACAAACGUGAUACAAUGGCUGAAACAAAGAGAAGCGAAGGGGUGACCUGGAGCGGAACUCAUAAAAGCAGUCUCAGUUCGGAUUGGAGUCUGCAACUCGACUCCAUGAAGUCGGAAUCGCUAGUAAUCGUAGGUCAGCAUACUACGGUGAAUACGUUCUCGGGGUUU
rnacentral:rRNA from 1 species